rnacentral:rRNA from 1 species
GGCUCAGAUUGAACGCUGGCGGCGUGCUUAACACAUGCAAGUCGCGCGUGAAAGGACUUCGGUCCGAGUAAAGCGGCGCACGGGUGAGUAACGCGUGGAUGAUCUACCCAUGAGUUAGGAAUAACGGCUGGAAACGGUCGCUAAUACCAAAUACGCUCCGAUUUCAACUUCGGGGGGAAAGGUGGCCUCUGCUUGCAAGCUACUGCUCAUGGAUGAGUCCGCGUCCCAUUAGCUAGUUGGUGGGGUAACGGCCCACCAAGGCGACGAUGGGUAGCCGGUCUGAGAGGAUGACCGGCCACACUGGGACUGGAACACGGCCCAGACUCCUACGGGAGGCAGCAGUGGGGAAUAUUGCGCAAUGGGCGAAAGCCUGACGCAGCGACGCCGCGUGAGGGAUGAAGGUCCUCGGAUCGUAAACCUCUGUCAGGAGGGAAGAACCGCCACGGUGCUAAUCAGCCGUGGUCUGACGGUACCUCCAAAGGAAGCACCGGCUAACUCCGUGCCAGCCGCAGC